UAAUAAACAAUACAGUCCCCAAGACAAGUGUAAAGACACUCAAAAUUAUUUCUAUUUAGAUCAGAUCUAGAUCUAGGUGCUAAGAACAGAUAAUUCUGCUAUGAUGAGACUAGACACCAAAGCACAAGAACAGCGCACUUUCUUGAGAGAGAGAUUUUUAAGAAUGCUUGGAUGUCUCAACGGAAGCCUGGCAGAAGUUGUCAUGCAUGAAAAGACCAAAGUGACCUUUUUCUGUCAAAAGAAAGCUUGAGAACAAGAAUUUGUUCUGGAAUUCUCUGCAGUUGUCAGUGGUUAAACAAGUGGCUUCCUGCAACGAUAAUAGUUGUUUUGCACAGGGUAUAAAACACUGUUAUUACUUCGUAGAAGUCCUGAACUAUACACUGUAGCAUUUUAUUGUUUACUCCUGUUGAUUCGUGAAUUAAAAUAAAGAUUCAAAUUUGA